AAUCUUGCUCAAUGGGCGAAAGCCUGACGCAGCCAUGCCGCGUGAAGGAUUAAGAUCUUAGGAUUGUAAAAUUCUUUCCCCGGGAACGAAAAUGACGGUACCCGGAGAAGAAGCACCGGCUAACUUCGUGCCAGCAGCCGCGGUAAUACGAAGGGGGCUAGAGUUGCGCGGAAUUCCUGGGCGUAAAGGGCGCGGAGGCGGGUUGUUAAGUCAGGGGUGAAAUCGCGGGGGUCAACCUCGGAACUGCCCUAGAUAAUGGCGAGCUUGAGUAUGAGAGGGGUAUGUGGAACUCCGAGUGUAGAGGUGAAAUUCGUAGAUAUUCGGAAGAAAACCAGUGGCGAAGGCGACAUACUGGCUCAUUACUGACGCUGAGGGGAGAAAGCGUGGGGAGCAAACA
rnacentral:rRNA from 1 species